ACGCUCGACACCUACGUGAGGCAGCAGUGAGGAAUAUUGGUCAAUGGACGCAAGUCUGAACCAGCCAUGCCGCGUGCAGGAUGACGGCUCUAUGAGUUGUAAACUGCUUUUGUACGAGGGUAAACGCAGAUACGUGUAUCUGUCUGAAAGUAUCGUACGAAUAAGGAUCGGCUAACUCCGUGCCAGCAGCCACGGUAAUCUGAGCGGGCUGGCAAGGC
rnacentral:rRNA from 1 species